rnacentral:rRNA from 1 species
CAAGUCGAACGAUGAAGUUCCUUCGGGAAUGGAUUAGUGGCGAACGGGUGAGAAACACGUGAGAAACCUGCCUUUCAUUUUGGGAUAACUCCGGGAAACCGGAGCUAACACCGAAUACUCCGUCUCGGCGGCAUCGCUGAGCCGGGAAAAAAUUUUGAUGAAAGAUGGUCUCGCGGCCUAUCAGCUAGUUGGUGAGGUAAUGGCUCACCAAGGCGACGACGGGUAGCCGACCUGAGAGGGCGACCGGCCACACUGGGACUGAGACACGGCCCAGACUCCUACGGGAGGCAGCAGUGGGGAAUAUUGGGCAAUGGGCGCAAGCCUGACCCAGCGACGCCGCGUGAGGGAUGAAGGCCUUCGGGUUGUAAACCUCUUUCAGUAGGGAAGAAGCGAAAGUGACGGUACCUAAAGAAGAAGCACCGGCUAACUAUGUGCCAGCAGCCGCGGUAAUACAUAGGGUGCAAGCGUUGUCCGGAAUUAUUGGGCGUAAAGAGCUCGUAGGUCGUUUGCCACGUCGAUUGUGAAAAUCUGAGGCUCAACCUCAGACCUGCAGUCGAUACGGGCAAACUAGAGUGUGGUAGGGGAGACUGGAAUUCCUGGUGUAGCGGUGGAAUGCGCAGAUAUCAGGAGGAACACCAAUGGCGAAGGCAGGUCUCUGGGCCAUAACUGACACUGAGGAGCGAAAGCGCGGGGAGCGAACAGGAUUAGAUACCCUGGUAGUCCGCGCCGUAAACGAUGGGCACUAGCUGUGAGAACCUUCCACGGUUUUCGCGACGCAGCAAACGCAUUAAGUGCCCCGCCUGGGGAGUACGAUCGCAAGAUUAAAACUCAAAGGAAUUGACGG